rnacentral:tRNA from 1 species
GGGGCCGUAGCUCAACUGGGGGAGCGCCGCCCUUGCACGGCGGAGGUUCGGGGUUCGAGUCCCCGCGGCUCCA